ACCGCCCUAAAAUCCUCUCUACUCUUAGUAAACUCUCAACCUAACCCUAGUCUUCAACCAUCGACUUGCCAUCUCUGGCUAUCUCUUAUGCCAUGCCUAUCUUCUCAAAGGUCUUCAAGGGCCCAGGGCCAUGCUGACUUGCAUCUACGGUUCUUCACCUGUUUGUUCUUGGCUACUCCAGUGUGAUUUCAAGAAAAAUCAUAUUGUAUUUGCUGUAAUCCUUGGGUUUCUAAGCAGGUUUCUUCAUCUCUAUAUUGAUUUCUCUCGAAACCCUAAUUUCUUUUCUAUACCUUCUAGAUAUGUAUAGAUCUAGGACAAUUUGAGUUUGUUUCUUCAAGGUUUUACACUAUCCUUUAGACUCCUUACAAGAAUUGUUGAUUUUAAGUGUUUUUCACCUCCUUCUAAAAUAGGGUUUUCAGAACUCCUUUCUAAAAACUUGUUUAACUGAUUCUUUGUGUAAAAAACUUCUAUCUCUUGCAUUUUUUAACUAAUUCAAUGAGUUUAUUACAUCUUUAACUCGUCUAUGUUGAAAGCCCUAAUUUUCUAGGUUUCUUCGUUUGGUUUUGUGUAUCAGCAUGACUGACCAGUUCUCGUUUGAGUUUCUGUGACUAUCUUGCCUCGAAUAUGUUUCCACUGAGUUUCUUAGCCUAACUUAUAUCAACUCUAUGUGUUUGUGUUCAUCUUGAUUGUUCAAAACUUGCCUCUUUCUGUCAGUGUUAUUUAACCUUCAUGUUUGCAAGAGUUAUGUGUCGACCUCUAGUUAUUCUUAUCUUACUCUAUUUAUAUGCUAAAAUAUUGGCUCAUGUCUCUCUCUUUGAUUGAUUCUAAGUUCCCUGUUUCUUGGCUUGAUAUGAGAACUUUUCUUUAGACCUUCGAUUCUUCCUGUUUAAACUUGGCUUAUUUGCUUAUUCAUGGGAACCUAUGUUAUUCUCCUUAAAUUAGUAUUAUUUCGAGUCCUUUAUUCACUGAUUUGCUAGAUGUUGAUUCUCGAUUAUUUUCAUAUUCUGCAACCUUAUUUAGUUUUCUUACCUUAUUUGGAUUAACCAUGUUAUUUACUGAUUCUUCACUAACUGUUUCCUUAAUUGAACUCUUGUGUAUUUACCCCUAAUUUUCUAUUUUGUACCUAAUGCCUUACUUGAUUUCUUUCCUUAAACAUUUUCUGCCCAUUACUGUUGGUUAAUUACCUCUUAAUUAAGGAAGUGCAUGCCUUAAUUAGUACAUGGUUCCAUAAUUAUUGUUGAACUUUGAUUCUUGCCUUAUUUUCUGCCUAUUUUCAAACUAUAAAUACCCCGCUCUUUCACAACACAAACACACGAACACAUUGGUUUAAAUCUCUCUCACACUCAAAACUUUUCUGCUCUAUCUCUUUGUUUAUCUGCUAUUAUUUUGAGUUAGCUGGCUACAAGCCAAGGCUAACUAUUGUGCUUUCCUGUUCCUUACAUUUAUGUUUACUAUCUCUUUACUGGUAUAUUCUAAUUUCAAUUCAAGUUCCAAAACUAAUAUGUUUCUUUUACUGCUUCAAUUUAUCAUCUUUCUAAUUUGUUUCUAUCUAUUGCUAUGUUGUUCAACAUGGAAUUGACAUGUAUAUAUUGCUGCUUCAUCUAGCAUGCUACUCUAACAUUCUUAAGGCCUUUCAUAACAUGUUCUAUCCCCAUCUAGUAGUCUGUCUCAGUAUAACUCUACUCUGCUUUGAAUGCUUGUCUACUUGUUAUCCGUUUUUGAUAUGCAAAUUGAUCUGUCACUUUAAAUGGUACCAAUAGCUAUCCCCUAAUCCAUUACCCCACAAGAACCACUAUGCUCUUGCAUACUAUGUACUCCACGUGUCCCGAAUUCCCAUUCCCCGUGUGAAGGACUGUUAUUUGAGUAUUGCUGAACUUGUUUGACUGGCCUUUUGUUUGUUUAAUUACACCACUGUGUUUAAAAGAUGUUUUACUAAACAACUCUCUUGUUUACAAAAUUAUUUCAACUAGGUCUCUAUUAACACUGUUUUCCUAAUGAAACCCUUUCAAACUAUGCCAAGCACCCUCACUUUACUCCUAAGUCCCUAGGUUCUGCCUUUUCUAGUGUGU
rnacentral:lncRNA from 1 species